AUGAACGCCGGCGGCAGGCCUAACACAUGCAAGUCGAGCGGUAGCACAGAGAGCUUGCUCUCGGGUGACGAGCGGCGGACGGGUGAGUAAUGUCUGGGAAACUGCCUGAUGGAGGGGGAUAACUACUGGAAACGGUAGCUAAUACCGCAUAACGUCGCAAGACCAAAGUGGGGGACCUUCGGGCCUCAUGCCAUCAGAUGUGCCCAGAUGGGAUUAGCUAGUAGGUGGGGUAACGGCUCACCUAGGCGACGAUCCCUAGCUGGUCUGAGAGGAUGACCAGCCACACUGGAACUGAGACACGGUCCAGACUCCUACGGGAGGCAGCAGUGGGGAAUAUUGCACAAUGGGCGCAAGCCUGAUGCAGCCAUGCCGCGUGUGUGAAGAAGGCCUUCGGGUUGUAAAGCACUUUCAGCGGGGAGGAAGGCGGUGAGGUUAAUAACCUCACCGAUUGACGUUACCCGCAGAAGAAGCACCGGCUAACUCCGUGCCAGCAGCCGCGGUAAUACGGAGGGUGCAAGCGUUAAUCGGAAUUACUGGGCGUAAAGCGCACGCAGGCGGUCUGUCAAGUCGGAUGUGAAAUCCCCGGGCUCAACCUGGGAACUGCAUUCGAAACUGGCAGGCUUAGAGUCUUGUAGAGGGGUAGAAUUC
rnacentral:rRNA from 1 species